rnacentral:rRNA from 1 species
ACGCUCGACACCUACGGGAAGCAGCAGUGGGGAAUAUUGCACAAUGGGGGAAACCCUGAUGCAGCGACGCCGCGUGAGCGAAGAAGUAUUUCGGUAUGUAAAGCUCUAUCAGCAGGGAAGAAAGUGACGGUACCUGACUAAGAAGCACCGGCUAAAUACGUGCCAGCAGCCGCGGUAAUCUGAGCGGGCUGGCAAGGC